rnacentral:rRNA from 1 species
UACGUAGGGUGCAAGCGUUAAUCGGAAUUACUGGGCGUAAAGCGUGCGCAGGCGGCUUUGCAAGACAGAUGUGAAAUCCCCGGGCUUAACCUGGGAACUGCAUUUGUGACUGCAUGGCUGGAGUGCGGCAGAGGGGGAUGGAAUUCCGCGUGUAGCAGUGAAAUGCGUAGAUAUGCGGAGGAACACCGAUGGCGAAGGCAAUCCCCUGGGCCUGCACUGACGCUCAUGCACGAAAGCGUGGGGAGCAAGCAGG